rnacentral:lncRNA from 1 species
GGUUACCAAGUGGGUGAGCUAUGAGUUGGUAUGUUUUAUCCACACGAGCCACAGAUCGAGCUGGAUCAGGAUAGGCAGGUUUGCCAGCCGAUAAUCAAUUCGAGUUAAGAGCGAGGCUCCAUAAGCAGGUACAUACAUUAAAGCUGAGAGAUAGACAUGAACAAGUUACAACAGGAUGGUAUGACAAACACAUCAUCAAAUUUUGAUAACAUUGUUGUCCAAACAACCAUUGAUUUGAUUGAAUCACAACAAGAGAAACAGAAGAACAACAAACUCAGAACUCAGAAACUGAGAAAUCACAGUUGGUGGUGUUUUAUGUCCAUCAGAGAGUAUUUCUAAUGAAAAAGUAGGCAGGGUAAACAAAGAGGAGAACAAUUCCGAUGGUGUUGGAGAUUCCUGCUUCUCUGGUGAAGGCGUUCCUGAACCCGCCGGAGGCUCUGAUGUGUUCUUGCAGCAAGUAGCAGGCUAUCCCGAGGCA